rnacentral:lncRNA from 7 species
UCUCUUUCUGGAGAUCAGCUUUGUGGAGCUUUUCAUUGUGAGCCUAAAUCUUUGGAUACAGAAUUCCCCCAGAUCCUCACGGAAGAGCUGUGUGCUGCUAUAGGAGCAGGACUGGGAAGUGACGUCUCUUCAUGGGCUGGAAGCUAUGCAAGAGAGGCGGCCAGAACACAGUUGUUUCCCCCAGUGAUGGAAAUCCUGUCCAGAAAUCCAUCCAAAGGCAUCUUCUCUUCACCACAGACCUGUAACCUGGAGGCCACAUUGGUCACUGGCAGAUGUGGGGAUGAAGGCUGUUUUAGGAGGUGUGUUGAGGUUUGUGCUGGCCACAUCACUCAGUUCAUAUUUAAUUGAGACCCUCGUGUUUUCUUCCACUUAGUUAUUUAAUUGGUGUGUAAAUAGCAAUUCUAAAGUAGCCAUAAAUAUUAACAGCAGCUCUUCUUUGAAAUAACUAUCUCCCAUUCAGCCCUUUCUUCUUUAAUAAUGGCCAUCAGUCUUCUAAGAGGUAAAAAGGACAGACUGCCCGUGAACAGAUCCAGACACUAAAUGCUUCUUGCUUUGGUACUCUCCUCACCACACUACGCACUCCUCUUGUAAGCUUAGCUUGCUCUCUCCUUAGUUUUCUCACUUCACUUUACUGUUUUUAUUCUUCUCCCUUCGCUUUCUUGUCACUUUUAGAAAAGCUGGUUCCCCCUUUUCUGUGUAGGUGAGACUAGCUUCAGUAAGAGAGUGUGUGGGUAAAACCACCUUCUGAAUGCACACACACACCUGUGGUGCAUUUAGAUGUGAGUGGAAGGAAGAUAAUUAUAAUUGGAGUUUUAUAGCUUCAGCUGGCUUCACCCUCAUCACUGGUGGAGGGUAUUCACACCACAAUGCAGCACCCUGGUUUUGUUUGCUGUGGCCGUGCCUUGGGGAUGUGGGUCCUUUCCCUGGGAAGCAGCCAGUGGGACACUGCAGCCCUGGGAACAUGGUGGGACUGGAACUGGAUCUGAUGAUAUUUCUCCUCCUUUGUUUUCACUCAAGUGUGGAACUGGGUCUGCUGCAGAUCUGUGUGCUUUGUGUCAUUUGCUUUGGGGGGGAUCUUUGCUGGGGAUCUGGCCCUUUUUCACUUUAUGACAAACAAGCAGUGCAACAUUCCUGAAGGAUGACUGAAAUGAUGAGGCAAUUAAUUAUAAAGCUGACUUAACUGUGUGCUCAGGUUUAAACAAGUUUACAUCACUAACAUUCCCUGGGUAAUUGUUUUUCAAGGAGCGAGUUUUCUGCAGUGAUGGAAAACAAGGGAAAGGGGCAGGGGAAGCUGGAAGCGUGGUCACCUCUACAGGGAAACCUCAUGGCUUGGGGUUUUAUGCUGGUGGUUGCACCAUGAACUUGGAGAUAGUUCUCAGAAGGAUGGGACCAACAGGGUUUGAAAGCCAGGGUGACUCCCUUAGACAUCCCAGUAGACCCAUUAUCAAACAGGUAACUGAGAGUAGAUGCAAAGGUGCUCUAGGAAAUUAGUUUCUCAUCAACGGUAUCUAGUGUGAAAGACCAGGUGGUUCUCUAGAGCUCUGUGGAGUCAAAGACCUUGCUACUACCUAUCAUGGCUGGAGGCAUGUAAACAAACAGACACGUUCAGGUGUUCCUUGCCUGUGGCAGCCACACCUUCCAAUAUUGCUGAAUUUUUGUAAAAUUCAGGCUGAAAUGGAUGUGUGGAAGAGUCAGUUAAUAGUGAUCUCUUAAAAAAAGGAGCAGGAGCAAAAUGUAUGUGAUGCAUAAAAGGCACUGGAAAGCACAGGAUGCAUGGGAAAGGACACCUUUUGAAUUAUUUAUGUAAUUGUAUGUCUUUGUAACCAGUACCUUCUACUGCUGCUGUCCUUUGGACUUUAUUACCCCUGUUGGAAGCUGGUUUCUGUGGAGCCAUUACAUCAGUGAGUAAGUCCUAAUCAGGCCGCAAAAGAUGAUUACUUCACAGAGAGCUGUGUGUCUGUGUCUGAGCAGAGUCAGCCACCUGCAACAAAAAGGAAAAAAAAAAUUACUUUGUGCUGAUGUCUGCCCUUAGAGGUUUGAAGACAAGGUGGAAUAAAGAGAGUUGUUCAGGUAUUCAACUGCAGCAAAGAGCAAGUUAGGUCCAUGUCACUCAUUAAGGUUAGAAUGCAUUGUAAUUCUGAUUUCUGGCUCUGUUUUCAUUUAUACCCUAUCUGUAGAUGUAUCUAAUAAACACUAGUGGAAGCUAAUUUACUUUCUAAAACCUAUUAAUUUAGUCAUACUCAUUAUAUAAGUCAACCAAUAAAUAGCAAGUAGAGCAAGCAGAGUGAAACAAAAUGAACUAACCAAUCUAACUGAAACAACGACAAGCAUUGCAAUCUAUAAUGAAAAAUCACACGUUAACACUUAAACAGUGCUUGCCUUUUCAUCCAAUAAAUAUGCAAUGCACACCGGUCUAUUAAGUUCCUCAUACUUGGUGUGACGAAAGUGUGGGAAGAGUAAAAACAAGUCCUUAUGGGCAGGAUUCAACCACUCGUGGAAAGACUGGAUAAAAUCUUCCCUAUUCUUUCAGUCCUAUGGAAGGUGAAAUGAGAAGAGCCACCGGGUAGAAAAUGUGUGUUUCUCCAAGGCAAAAAGUGAUGGCAGAGCCAUGAGACCUGGGAAUGAGUCCAGACCCCGUGUGUCAACACUUUGAUAUGGAGGGUGCUGAGUUUCUGCUGUGGUCCACAAGACUGGAAGAACGGCUGUUCCAAAGCUUUGCAAUCUGCCUGUGUGAUGAAACAUCUCAAGUGUUUUCAAACACAGAAACAAACUGGGAGAUUUCACCCAAGAGAAAGGAUAACCUCUUGCUUUGGGCGCACAGUGAGACAUUUGCAAAUAUGUGUUUUUCUCCUUUACUCAUAGACUCUCUUCCUAAUGAGAAAUAUCGCUAGGAUGCUGCUGCUUGUAGAGCCUAAAUGUAGCUGCAGAGCU